AACGCACAUUGCGCCCGCCAGUAUUCUGGCGGGCAUGCCUGUCCGAGCGUCAUUUCAACCCUCGAACCCCUCCGGGGGUCCGGCGUUGGGGAUCGGCCCUUUACCGGCCGGCCCCGAAAUGCAGUGGCGGUCUCGCCGCAGCCUCUCCUGCGCAGUAGUUUGCACACUCGCACCGGGAGCGCGGCGCGUCCACGUCCGUAAAACACCCAACUUCUGAAAUGUUGACCUCGGAUCAGGUAGGAAUACCCGCUGAACUUAA
rnacentral:misc_RNA from 1 species